rnacentral:rRNA from 1 species
UUUGAACGCACCUUGCGCUCCUUGGUAUUCCGAGGAGCAUGCCUGUUUGAGUGUCAUUAAAUUCUCAACCUCACCAAUUUUGUCAUGAAGCUGUGUGUAGGCUUGGAGGUGGGGGGUUGCAGGUCCACAAUGGUGGUCUGCUCCUCUGAAAUGUAUUAGUGGGUUAGGCCCCUUAUCUAUUGGUGUGAUAAUUAUCUACUCCAUGGAUUGGGUUGGCUUAUCAUAAGACCUGCUCCAAACCGUCCUUCUCUGGACAACUCUUGACAUUUUUGACCUCAAAUCAGGUAAGACUACCCGCUGAACUUAAGCAUAUCAAUAAGCGGAGGAAAAGAAACUAACAAGGAUUCCCCUAGUAACUGCGAGUGAAGCGGGAAAAGCUCAAAUUUAAAAUCUGGCGGUCUUUGGCCGUCCGAGUUGUAAUCUAGAGAAGUGUUACCCGCGCCGGACCGUGUAUAAGUCUCCUGGAAUGGAGCGUCAUAGAGGGUGAGAAUCCCGUCUUUGACACGGACUCCCGGGGCAUUUGUGGUGCGCUCUCAAAGAGUCGAGUUGUUUGGGAAUGCAGCUCAAAAUGGGUGGUAAAUUCCAUCUAAAGCUAAAUAUUGGCGAGAGACCGAUAGCGAACAAGUACCGUGAGGGAAAGAUGAAAAGAACUUUGGAAAGAGAGUUAAACAGUACGUGAAAUUGCUGAAAGGGAAACGCUUGGAGUCAGUCACGUUGGCCGGAAAUCAACCUUGCUUCUGCUGGGUGUACUUUCUGGUUUGACGGGCCAGCAUCAGUUUUGACCGGUGGAGAAAGUUCAAGGGAAUGUGGCAUCUUUGGAUGUGUUAUAGCCUUUGAUCAUAUACAUCGGUUGGGACUGAGGAAUUCA